rnacentral:lncRNA from 1 species
UUGUUUGCAAAUUUUGCCUUUUGCUUAUGUCUAAGUAGGGAGCAUUAUUGAAUAAAUUUGGUUUUGGAAUCUAAAGUUGGGGAGAGUAAAGAAAAAAGAGUUGAUUAGAAACUUGGAGAAGUGAGUUUUUAUGAAAGGGUGAAAAUAUGAAAAGAAACAAGAAAAAGAAAUCACCCUUGAAACCAUAGAGCAAAGAAAAAGAAAAGAAAGAAAAAAAAACAAAGAAAAGGCUCAUGGUUGUGUGGAUGUGAAAAGAAAAAGAAAAGAAAAAAGACGGGGAUCAAAGAAAUGGAAAUUGUGUAGAGUUGAAUGUUUGGGAAUGCUCCCUUAAGAUAGGCAAUUUUGUUAAAUUCUCUUAAUCAUAUCCUUUCUUGUAACCCAAGCCACAUUACAACCCUUGAAAGACCUCUUGAUUCUCAUUUUUCACAUGAUUUGGUAUUUGUUUUGAUGACCGCAUGAUUUGAG